UACAGAGGUCUCAAGCGUUGUUCGGAAUCACUGGGCGUAAAGGGUGCGUAGGCGGCGAAGAAAGUCUGGUGUGAAAUUUGCGAGCUCAACUCGCAACUAGCACCUGAUACUACUUUGCUAGAGAUCUGGGAGAGGAGCUUGGAAUUCUCGGUGUAGCAGUGAAAUGCGUAGAUAUCGGGAGGAACACCUGUGGCGAAAGCGGCUCACUGGACCACAACUGACGCUGAGGCGCGAAAGCUAGGGGAGCAAACAGGG
rnacentral:rRNA from 1 species